rnacentral:rRNA from 1 species
UACGGGGGGAGCAAGCGUUGUUCGGAUUUACUGGGCGUAAAGGGCGCGUAGGCGGCCAGCACAAGUCAGUUGUGAAAUCUCCGAGCUUAACUCGGAAAGGUCAACUGAUACUGUGCGGCUAGAGUGCGGAAGGGGCAACUGGAAUUCUUGGUGUGGCGGUGAAAUGCGUAGAUAUCAAGAGGAACACCUGCGGCGAAGGCGGGUUGCUGGGCCGACACUGACGCUGAUGCGCGAAAGCUAGGGGAGCGAACGGG